UAUUUGAGCGAAACAAAAAUAUAUAUACUCACCCUAAGGAAAGUCUACUUGCUUAGAAUGUGCUCUUUCAGAACUCAAAAGAUAUUUCACUCAAAGUCUUAAAGAAAUAUUUCACCCAAAAAUGAAAAUUCUGUUCUUCCUCAACUUGCAUGACUUUGUUGUUCAAAAGCAAAACAACGCUGGACCCCAUUGACUUUCUGCGGAUAAAAAAAAAAAAAAGUUUUCAUAAUUGUUUUCUUUAAUAUUCCACAGAGGAAAGAAAAUCAUUCAGGUUUGGAACGACAAGACAUUAUUUUUAUUCCUGGGUGAACUAUCCCUAUAAAGUUUUUGAUUAUGUUUCAUUAAUGUAUUAAUUGUGUCUGAUGCUUCUGCUGAAAUUUCUUAAAAUAAAUAUAAAGUUGACACAAAUAUGACAGUUGUUGGCAUUACAUGUAUAGAACCAUAAUUGAAUGUGGACAAAAAAUCCUUACAUACUUAAGUCUUGGAAGUUUUUGAUGAGAAAUCUUUCAAAAACUCGUUACUUUUCUAACUUUGGUAUCUUGGCAAGUUUGAAAGCACAGUUUGAAAGUUUUUCUUUCUGAAACUCUAGGAGACAUGUGGGUCUUUUUCCACAGGAGGGACAUGUGGAAAGACUUAAACCAAAGUUUUCAUUUGCUCUCCAUUAAAUCUUGUCAGUGUCCAGGAUAAACGAGUGAGAUGUUAGAGAUAACAUUUAUGUUUUUUCUUUCCUAUGUGCAUCUGAGACAUUUCCUCAUGAUGCAUGCACAAGAUCUUUCAUUUAUAACAUAUAUUAUUUAACAGCCAUGUGUAUUUUUUAAGAUUACGAUAAGUUGCCACCUGUUUCAACCAAUGAUUUUCAUACUUGAGCCAUGUUUUCUUUCAGAACUAGGAGAACAGUUAUGUCCAAGGUCAUCUCCCAAUGCUAGAACAGAUGACCACCUAAAAUUGGCCACAAACUUGGUCAAUUUACAGCCUGCGACUGGACGGGAGCAGCCUGAUGCCCCAUCCAUGGAGGAAUUUAAGCAGCUGGCAGAGAAGGAGAAACGCGCUGCCCUUAGACUCCAAGAGGAGGAGUGUGUGAGGAGGUGUGUGCAGGAUGCCGAGAGAAGCAUUCGUGAGGAGUGUGACAUGAAGGCAGAAAGAGAGAAACGGGCCCUACAGGACAGACAUGAAGAGGAGAAAUCUGAGCUACAAAACAGGUAAAAAAUACCCCUCCUGCUCACCCCAGCUUCCUGUUGUGAUGCAUCUCAGCUAUUCUCUUUCUCCUUCCCACCUUUUGUAAAUUUCAUUAGUUUCUCUUUUUGUAUCUCUCUGCUUUCUCCUUUCUCUUCGAGAAUCCUAGAAUAUAUAGAUUUUGUUGUCUUCAUCAACAGUUUCUCCACCACUUUCUUUCUUUCUUUUUUUUUUUUAAACAAUGUUCUGAAAUGGUGCAUGACGGUGCGUGUGUGUUCCAGGAUGCAGCAGCUGCGGGACAGUCUGGAGCAGGCCUGCAGGGAGCGCAUUCAGUAUGAAGCAGAGUUUAAGGUCAGCCCUUGUAAUGAGGUCAUCAUGAAUAAAUGAACGGCUCUAAAAAGGGACCUGCUCA
ensembl:lncRNA